rnacentral:rRNA from 1 species
UACGGAGGGUGCAAGCGUUGUUCGGAAUCACUGGGCGUAAAGCGCGUGUAGGCGGCCACCUAAGUCUGGUGUGAAAGCCCUGGGCUUAACCCAGGAAGGGCAUUGGAUACUGGGUGGCUGGAGUACCGGAGAGGAGGGUGGAAUUCCUGGUGUAGCGGUGAAAUGCGUAGAUAUCAGGAGGAACACCGGUGGCGAAGGCGUCCCUCUGGCCGGAUACUGACGCUGAGACGCGAAAGCGUGGGGAGCAAACAGG